GGGAGCCAGGGAAUACACAGCUCUGACACAGAUAGGUGUGUAAAGUUCAGUGGGGCUGGGAUCAGGUUUAACUGUUAAACGUGACUGUAAAUGGCACACUUUGCUAAGUCUAUUACUCCUGAGAGAAGAAUGGACUCUAUCACGAUUCCUGUUGUCACAGAAGCAUUCCUUUGGGGACAGAUGAGUCUAUGACAUUAUCAACCCUGGACCUUUGACCUGAGGGCCAAAGGAAGAGGGCUGGUUCGCCCCUGAGGUGACUGUCAAUGACGUAGGCCAGGUGGACGACCCCAAGGACCCCUGGAGAAGCCCAGUGGAGGACCCUCAGGGUCAGCCUCCACCCCCGCCCAGAGCCCCUUCCCUGCCUGGGCCACAUCAUCAAGACAUGUCCCCCCACACCCCUGAUCGCCUGAUGAAAGACCCCCAUCCUGACAACCUCAGGUUACACCCCUAGUGAGAAAAGGCUCAGUGGACUGAGGAUGAGGACUUCUCUUUAUCUGGGCUUCUCCAGCGGGAAGUGGAGGGCUUCGCUGGUCCUUCUAGCUGGCCACGACCUUGGGACUGUUCCCUUAAAGCAGUAAAACACGUAGAAGCCCCUCUUCCUCUCACGUCUGACUUAAACAACAUCCACUGUGUCCCUCCAAGUCACCAAGCACACAUGCCUCCUCAGUAGUGUUAUGAACAUGUGCUCUUUAUGACAGAAUAUAAACAUUUAUGUAUGGAACGACUCAGCUAUAUAACAUUUGCUGGCCCAGAUCCGGUGCACAGCAGGUGUCAGAGACGGUACACAUGUCAGCAGCCCAUAAAUCAAACGUGUCUCCUCUAUAAUCAUCAUUAUAACCAUCUUCACCCUACAGAACCUCAGCAGGACCCUCGCCAGUGCCCACUGUCCUGGACUCCCACGGCUCAAACAGACUAUAUGGACAAGAAGCUCUAAAAGCCUCCAGUCUAAAUCUUCCUCAGUGUGUUGCCCCUCACAGACAGGUGAUGAGGGAGGUCAGUGUGGUGCCCUCCUACCCAGCGACCCCUGGCCAACCAGAUGGGGGAGGAACAGCUACACAGGAACUGAGGAAGACCAUCAGUCUAUCCGAGGAGUGUAGUAAUUACGUAUCAAUGUCCAUCCCUCAGCAUAACCAAGAUCAUUCAUUUUUAGACAUUAAAGAUGAUUGUUCAUUAAACAGUGGACUUUCGGUGAAUCAGAAGUCAUUGUGUCACCCUAUGAUUUGGCUUUUAAGAAUUCAAUAUUAGUACUUAUAACAUCCUCAAAAACGUGCUGUAAAUAUUUGUCUGAGCACAAUUAGCGUCCAUAUGGUACAGUGCUUUGUUUGAUCGCAGGAAAUGUGUUCAUUACAUAUUCUGUGGACACAGCCAGUGAGAUCUUUACCUUUGUGAAGUUUCUGACAGAUCAGGGCUUUAAACCAGCUGCAAGUUUUCCAUUUUAUUUUAUUCACCCACUCUUUGAAAUACUACUAUUCAAACAUACUUCCUCUCUCUGGCAGAUUGACAUCUUUGAUAGCACGGUUAGAAGAAUGGACAUCAACAAGUGGACGGACAGCUAUUUAAAGGAUAAGUCAGUGGUGAUCAUCGUGGUCAUCAGUCCCAAGUCAAGGCAGACGUGGAAAGAGAUGGAGAGGAUGAGCAUGGUCUCCACACAAGGUUCAGAUCCAGAAUGAGUUCAUCCAACAGCGCUGCCUUCAUUUAAGACUGGUACCGGUAUUGUUUCCCACCUCUAUGAAGAGAUAUGUCCCUGCCUGGCUUCAGAGCACCAGGAUAUACCACUGGCCCCAGGAUACCCAAGACCUACUUCUCCGUCUGCUAUUAGAGGAACGCUACAUUGGCCCGGCCCCCUCUGGGGAAAGAGCUGACCCUCUCCGUAUGACACCUCUGACAUCUCUGAGAACUGCUGAAGACACAUUGUGUUGUGGUGCUUCAUAGAUUUCAAUGUUUAUAUGGACAUUUAGUAAAGGCUUUUWAAAAAAUGUUUACUGAAAUUGUGUGGGUGUAAGUGGUGUAUCUCAGCACUACUCUUAAAUAGCCACAAGGUGGCAGUAUUUACUUUCUAAUGUUUCAAGUCCUAGACAUGUGGUGGUAAUGGGUUACUCCUGACAUUGUGUGGCGACUGUGGUCCUAAUAAUAUGUGAUAUGAAGAAGUAUUCAAUUAAUAAAUGAAAGUAAUAA